GCCCCCGUAGCUCAGUUGGUUAGAGCAGCGUCCUUUUAAGUCGUGGGUCCAGAGUUCGAGUCUCUGUGGGGGCA
rnacentral:tRNA from 4 species